rnacentral:rRNA from 1 species
CGUGGAGACAGGUGGUGCAUGGCUGUCGUCAGCUCGUGUCGUGAGAUGUUGGGUUAAGUCCCGCAACGAGCGCAACCCUCACCUCUUGUUGCCAUCAGGUCAUGCUGGGCACUCUAGAGGAACUGCCCCGGUCAACGGGGAGGAAGGCGGGGAUGACGUCAAGUCGUCAUGCCCCUUACGUCCUGGGCUACACACGUGCUACAAUGGCCGGUACAAAGGGAUGCCACACCGCGAGGUAGAGCUAAACCCAAAAAGCCGGUCUAAGUUCAGAUUGGAGUCUGCAACUCGACUCCAUGAAGGAGGAAUCGCUAGUAAUCGCGUAUCAGCACGACGCGGUGAAUACGUUCCCGGGCCUUGUACACACCGCCCGUCACACCACGAAAGCCUGCUGUACUCGAAGUCGCUGAG